rnacentral:rRNA from 1 species
UACGGGGGGGGCAAGCGUUGUUCGGAAUUACUGGGCGUAAAGGGCUCGUAGGCGGCCAACUAAGUCGGAUGUGAAAUCCCCAGGCUUAACCUGGGAACUGCAUCCGAUACUGGAAGGCUUGAAUCCGGGAGAGGGAUGCGGAAUUCCAGGUGUAGCGGUGAAAUGCGUAGAUAUCUGGAGGAACACCGGUGGCGAAGGCGGCAUCCUGGACCGGCAUUGACGCUGAGGCGCGAAAGCCAGGGGAGCAAACGGG